GUGCUUGUUUCAGUAGCACAUAUACUAAAAUUGGAAUGAUAUAGAGAAAAGUAGCAUGUCUCCUGCACUAGGAUGACAUGCAAAUUCUUAAAGCAUUCCAUAUUUUU
ensembl:snRNA U6 U6 spliceosomal RNA